rnacentral:rRNA from 1 species
CCUACGGGGUGCAGCAGUGGGGAAUAUUGGACAAUGGGCGAAAGCCUGAUCCAGCCACGCCGCGUGUGUGAAGAAGGCCUUCGGGUUGUAAAGCACUUUCAGUGGGGAAGAAAGCCUUGGGGCUAAUACCCUCGAGGAAGGACAUCACCCACAGAAGAAGCACCGGCUAACUCCGUGCCAGCAGCCGCGGUAAUACGGAGGGUGCGAGCGUUAAUCGGAAUUACUGGGCGUAAAGCGCGCGUAGGCGGUCUGAUAAGCCGGUUGUGAAAGCCCCGGGCUCAACCUGGGAACGGCAUCCGGAACUGUCAGGCUAGAGUGCAGGAGAGGAAGGUAGAAUUCCCGGUGUAGCGGUGAAAUGCGUAGAGAUCGGGAGGAAUACCAGUGGCGAAGGCGGCCUUCUGGACUGACACUGACGCUGAGGUGCGAAAGCGUGGGUAGCAAACAGGAUUAGAUACCCUAGUAGUC